CGCUGAUUUCACAAAUGCAUCUGGGCUGGGAAGAUGUUGACUAAUUCAGAGGAGAAAGGGACUGAACCGAGCCCUGGUGAGCACGGAAGGCUCUGUGCUGGCGAGGCUAAGCCACACGGCCGGCUCCUCCUGCUCCAUCUUCCAGACACACAAUACAGCCUGGCACCUUGCACGUAAGCUCUGAAUCAAGCGAGACAUCAAAUUCAUUGCUUUAGCUCUGCUUCUCACGAAAUCAGAGAAGAUGGCUACAGAGAGAAGAUGCCUUCACAGUGAGGGCAGUGUGGGGUCAAGAGUCUGUUGGCUGUGACGUGGACAUCAGUUGGGGUGUGAGUGAUUUUCAACGGAGCCUCUCUCUCGGCCUGAGCAGACCCGCAGGGGUCACGUGAAGGUGCUGAGUGCAAGCCUGUUCUUGCUUGUGUCCCUGCCGUGUCAGGAAAGCAGGAAAGCUCCAGAGAGGAGAAUAAAGAGUCCCCAGUCAUGAGUUCUGGAAGACAAGGAAAAGAAAGAUCUUUGGAAACUAUGGUCCAGUCUUCACUUCCAACCAAGAACCAAAUAUUUGACCUCGCGGGGCCGCCAUGAGGAUGAAGGGAGUAAAUGUGGGCAAGUGUUGGGCUCCAGGCAACUAGAUCCCAAAUGUUGGUGGCUGCUGCAACUACUAUGACAGCCGCGGUGGCUGUCAUUUCUCCCCCAGCUUCUCCACUGGCCAGCCUCAGGCAGGCUCACUUCUCUCAGCCUCAUCAGACUUUCCCAGCUGAAAAAAUACAGGUCCCCGUUCUCCUCUUUCCUCUUUCAUGUGGGAUGGAAAUCAUUUACUCCGGCAUAGUUGUUAAAAAUAAGAACUGCAGGGCUGGAGCAAUAGCACAGUGGGUAGGGCGUUUGCCUUGCACGCGGCUGACUUGGGUUCAAUUCCCAGCAUCCCAUAUGGUCCCCUGAGCAUGGCCAGGAG